CAGCCGCCGCGGGAAUACGAAGGGUGCAAGCGUUAAUCGGAAUUACUGGGCGUAAAGCGUGCGUAGGCGGUGAGUUAAGUCUGCUGUGAAAUCCCCGGGCUCAACCUGGGAAUGGCAGUGGAUACUGGCUCGCUAGAGUGUGUCAGAGGAUGGUGGAAUUCCCGGUGUAGCGGUGAAAUGCGUAGAGAUCGGGAGGAACAUCAGUGGCGAAGGCGGCCAUCUGGGACAACACUGACGCUGAGGCACGAAAGCGUGGGGAGCAAACAGGAUUAGAUACUCCAGUAGUCCCUGUCUCUUAUAC
rnacentral:rRNA from 1 species